GCUGGCGGCGUGCCUAUCUGCAGUCGAGCGACGGACGAGAGUGCUGGCUCUCUCUGGUGUUAGCGGCGGACGGGUGAGUAACACGUGGGUAACCUACCUAUAACAGUGGGAUAACUUCGGGAAACCGGAUCUAAUACCGGAUAAUAUUUAACUUCGCGUGACGCAAUAGUGAAAGACGGUUCUGCUGUCUCUUAUAUAUGGACCCGCGGUGUAUUAUCUAUUUGGUGAGGUAACGGCUCACCAGGGCAACGAUACAUACCCGACCUGAGAGGGUGAUCGGCCACUCUGGGACUGACACACGGCCCACACUCCUACGGGAGGCAGCAAUAGGGACUCUUCCGCAGUGGACGAAAGUCUGACAGAACAACCCCGCGUGAGUGAAAAAUGUUCUCAGAUCGUAAAUCUCUGUUGUAGGGGAAGAACAUGUGUGUUAAUAUCUGAACGUAUCUUGACGGUACCUUACCAGAGAGCCACGGCUAUCUACGUGCCCGCACCCGCGGUAAUACAUAUGUGGCACGCGUUAUCCAGAAUUAUUGGGCGUAAAGCGCGCGUACGCGGUCUCUUAUCUCAGAUGUGAACGCCCGCGUCUCACGCGGGAGAGUGUCUGUGGACAGUGAGACACGUGAGUGCAAAAGAGGAGAGUGAUCUUCUGUGUGUAGCUGAGAUGUGCGCAGAUAUGUGGGAGAACCACCUGUGGCAAGCGACUCUCUGUGCUCUGUAACUGACGCUGAUGUGCGAAAGCGUGGGAUCAAACAGGAUUAGAUAGCCUGGUAGUCACGCCGUAAACGAUGAGUGCUAAGUGUUGUGUGGUUUCCGCCCCUCAGUGCUGCAGAUAUCGCAUUAAGCACUCCCGCGUGGGGAGUACGCUCGCAAGACUGAAACUCAAAGGAAUUGACGGGGACCCGCACAAGCGGUGGAGCAUGUGGUUUAAUUCGAAGCAACGCGAAGAACCUUACCAAAUCUUGACAUCCUUUGACAACUCUAGAGAUAGAGCUUUCCCCUUCGGGGGACAAAGUGACAGGUGGUGCAUGGUUGUCGUCAGCUCGUGUCGUGAGAUGUUGGGUUAAGUCCCGCAACGAGCGCAACCCUUAUCUUUAGUUGCCAUCAUUAGGUUGGGCACUCUAGAGAGACUGCCGGUGACAAACCGGAGGAAGGUGGGGAUGACGUCAAAUCAUCAUGCCCCUUAUGAUUUGGGCUACACACGUGCUACAAUGGAUGGUACAAAGGGCAGCAAAACCGCGAGGUCAAGCAAAUCCCAUAAAACCAUUCUCAGUUCGGAUUGUAGUCUGCAACUCGACUACAUGAAGCUGGAAUCGCUAGUAAUCGUAGAUCAGCAUGCUACGGUGAAUACGUUCCCGGGUCUUGUACACACCGCCCGUCACACCACGAGAGUUUGUAACACCCGAAGCCGGUGGAGUAACCUUUUAGGGAGCUAGCCGUCGAAGGUGGGACAGAUGAUUGAGGUGUGAAGUCGUAACAAGGUAGCCG
rnacentral:rRNA from 1 species